rnacentral:rRNA from 1 species
AUUACGGGAGGCAGCAGGGGGGAAUAUUGCACAAUGGGCGCAAGCCUGAUGCAGCCAUGCCGCGUGUGUGAAGAAGGCCUUCGGGUUGUAAAGUACUUUCAGUAGGGAGGAAGGUGGUUAAGCUAAUACCUUAAUCAUUUGACGUUACCUACAGAAGAAGCACCGGCUAACUCCGUGCCAGCAGCCGCGGUAAUAAU